rnacentral:lncRNA from 1 species
UAAUCAUUCCAUAGCCCGGUGUCACAAGUGCAUGAGUAAUUUAUAGGAAAUAAUGUAAUACAACAACCGUCUGGAAUAUAAUAUUGGACAGAAAAAUAAUACAUUAAUCUGAAAGAGACUCUGCUAGCCGCGGGUCGUCUCGGGAAGUGCAGCUCACCUAAGUCUCCAUAUCAACCAUGCUGCUAUGCGCACUAUUCCAGUAGAGAUUCAUGUGUCUGUGUAGCAAAAAUGCAUAGAAAGUAUAUGUAUGAGUACGAAAAUAACAUGUACCCAAUAAGUAUCCCUUCUAAUCUCGAAAAAGUUGAGACUAGAGGUCGACUUCGACACUUACUAGUGGUCCAGUAAUGUUAUCUCAAUUAUAUAGUAAAUUCAUAUUUUUUAUAAACAUGAUUGUAAUUCAAUGGAAUGAAGCAAGUAAGCAAUUCUUUCUUUUAUAGGAAUUUUCUAAAUUUCUGUUCAUUAUUUAUACAUAUAUUUCCAAGCCCGGAAGAGGCAAUAACAACUUCAAUAAGUAAUCAAGGCAAGCAAUACAAGCAUGCGCAAAUCAUGCCGAGGUCGUACGACCCGAUUCAACAAUAUUUAAAUUGUGCACUACCGGAGGAUCGAAUGGAGCGAACCAUAGAUGCAUCUAUUUAAUCAACAAAGCUAUUCAGCCCGUUCCAGAAUUUAAACACACACGAACAAUCAAGAAGUCAUCAAAAAAUAAUUAUCUGAAGAAAACCAAUUCUCUUUUUAACAAUUUAAGAAAAUGAAGUUUAAAUCUUUUUAGAAAUUCAUUUAUUACUUCGAUGUAAUUUAAGAAAUUCAACUGUCAAUAAGAUUACAAAUCCAAGUAUAACAUGCUUCUGGGUCCUAAACUACCCAAACCUAAACAUACUAGUAGUUAUGCAAGAACUCUCAUCACCUCAUGCAUACGUAGCCCUCACAACUUGGAGCACAUAUUUAAUUAUUUUACCUAUGGAGAUAAUUCCUCUUACAAGGUUAGAAAGUAGACCCACCUCGCUUCGAAGAUCCAUAACCGGCUUUCGACGCCCUUUCGAAGACUCAAAUUGAUACACAACGCUCCAAAGCUAGCCAAUAACUAUGCAAAUCUAUUAAUAUAUGUUCAAUUACUCAUUACAAAUCCAAUUUAUAACAAUUUGUAACCCCGAUCGAAAAGUUAAUGAAAAUUCCCUCGGACCCAUAUGCCCAUAUUUUGAGAAUUUUCAAAGACAAAGUUUGCCCAUAACCUCACGAACUCGAAUAUAUAGUUUACUUUCAAUUUCAUACCCAAAAUUGUGGUCAGAAUCCAAAAAUACCAUUUUCUAGGUCUUUCACCCAAACCCCAAAUUCCUACUAAUUUCAUGCUCAAAUCCGUACAUAAUCAAUGUAUUUAACUCAAGAUGGGUAGGGAUAGCUUACCUUGUCGUUGAUGAUGAAAACCCCCUCUUGAAACCCUCAAAAAAUGGCCCAAGCCAAGAGAAACAUGAUAGGAAAAUGGCCAAAUCCCGAUUUUAAAACACUCAUUGCCUCUAGCCCUUUCCAUACCUACGGUCUCUUGACCGCUUCUGCGAUCCCGCAGGUGCAGACAAACACCACUUUUGAAAAAAAGUGAAUUCUUUUUAUGGUCAAACGACCCUUAUAAAUAUGAACUUAACUUAAUGCACAAUCCGUG